rnacentral:rRNA from 1 species
UAAUGCGUGACCAACCUCGCCCCAUGCUCCAGAAUAGCUCUUGGAAACGGGUGGUAAUGCUGGAUGCUCCAACUUGACGCAUGUCUUGUUGGGAAGUGUUUAGUGGCAUGGGAUGGGGUCGCGUCCUAUCAGCUUGUAGGCGGGGGUAAUGGCCCACCUAGGCUUCGACGGGUAGCCGGCCUGAGAGGGCGGACGGCCACAUUGGGACUGAGAUACGGCCCAGACUCCUACGGGAGGCAGCAGCU